rnacentral:rRNA from 1 species
UACGAAGGGGGCUAGCGUUGUUCGGAAUCACUGGGCGUAAAGCGCACGUAGGCGGCUUGUUGCGUCGACUGUGAAAACCCGCGGCUUAACUGCGGGCCUGCAGUUGAUACGGGCAGGCUAGAGUUCGGUAGGGGAGACUGGAAUUCCUGGUGUAGCGGUGAAAUGCGCAGAUAUCAGGAGGAACACCAAUAGCGAAGGCAGCUCGCUGGGACGGUACUGACGCUAAGGCGCGAAAGCGUGGGGAGCGAACAGG